rnacentral:rRNA from 1 species
UCCUGGGGCUGUAGCAGGUCCCAAGGGUUGGGCUGUUCGCCCAUUAAAGCGGUACGCGAGCUGGGUUCAGAACGUCGUGAGACAGUUCGGUCCCUAUCCGGCGCAGGCGGAGGAUAUCUGAGGGGAGCUGCCCUUAGUACGAGAGGACCGGGAUGGACGGACCACUGGUGUACCUGUUAGGAAUCAGUCCUAUGGCAGGGUAGCCAAGUCCGGAAGGGAUAAACGCUGAAGGCAUCUAAGCGUGAAGCCCCCCUCAAGAUGAGAUAUCUAUAGUUAGCAAUAACUGCAAGAUCCCUUAGAGAGUAUGAGGUAGAUAGGAAUGAGGUGUAAGCACAGCAAUGUGUUCAGCUGACAUUUACUAAUCGAUCGAGAGUUUAACCAAG